rnacentral:rRNA from 1 species
CGAACGGGUGAGUAACGCGUGAGGAACCUGCCUCAAAGAGGGGGACAACAGUUGGAAACAACUGCUAAUACCGCAUAAGCCCACGGCUCGGCAUCGAGCAGAGGGAAAAGGAGCAAUCCGCUUUGAGAUGGCCUCGCGUCCGAUUAGCUAGUUGGUGAGGUAACGGCCCACCAAGGCGACGAUCGGUAGCCGGACUGGGAGGUUGAACGGCCACAUUGGGACUGAGACACGGCCCAG